rnacentral:rRNA from 1 species
CCUACGGGGGGCUGCAGUGGGGAAUAUUGGACAAUGGGGGCAACCCUGAUCCAGCCAUGCCGCGUGUGUGAAGAAGGCCCUCGGGUUGUAAAGCACUUUCAGUGAGGAAGAACGCCUGGUGGUUAAUACCCAUCAGGAAAGACAUCACUCACAGAAGAAGCACCGGCUAACUCCGUGCCAGCAGCCGCGGUAAUACGGAGGGUGCGAGCGUUAAUCGGAAUUACUGGGCGUAAAGCGCGCGUAGGUGGCUUGAUAAGCCGGUUGUGAAAGCCCCGGGCUCAACCUGGGAACGGCAUCCGGAACUGUCAAGCUAGAGUGCAGGAGAGGAAGGUAGAAUUCCCGGUGUAGCGGUGAAAUGCGUAGAGAUCGGGAGGAAUACCAGUGGCGAAGGCGGCCUUCUGGACUGAAACUGACACUGAGGUGCGAAAGCGUGGGUAGCAAACAGGAUUAGAUACCCCAGUAGUC